UACGGAGGGUGCAAGCGUUAUCCGGAUUCACUGGGUUUAAAGGGUGCGUAGGUGGGCAGUUAAGUCAGUGGUGAAAUCUCCGGGCUCAACCCGGAAACUGCCAUUGAUAUUAUCUAUCUUGAAUAUCGUGGAGGUAAGCGGAAUAUGUCAUGUAGCGGUGAAAUGCUUAGAUAUGACAUAGAACACCAAUUGCGAAGGCAGCUUACUACCCGAAUAUUGACACUGAGGCACGAAAGCGUGGGGAUCAAACAGG
rnacentral:rRNA from 1 species